UGGGGAAUAUUGGACAAUGGGGGCAACCCUGAUCCAGCAAUGCCGCGUGUGUGAAGAGGGUCUUCGGAUUGUAAAGCACUUUCGACGGGGACGAUGAUGACGGUACCCGUAGAAGAAGCCCCGGCUAACUUCGUGCCAGCAGCCGCGGUAAUACGAAGGGGGCUAGCGUUGCUCGGAAUGACUGGGCGUAAAGGGCGUGUAGGCGGUUUACACAGUCAGAUGUGAAAUCCCCGGGCUUAACCUGGGAGCUGCAUUUGAUACGUGUAGACUAGAGUGUGAGAGAGGGUUGUGGAAUUCCCAGUGUAGAGGUGAAAUUCGUAGAUAUUGGGAAGAACACCGGUGGCGAAGGCGGCAACCUGGCUCAUGACUGACGCUGAGGCGCGAAAGCGUGGGGAGCAAACAGGAUUAGAUACCCUGGUAGUCCACGCUGUAAACGAUGUGUGCUAGAUGUUGGGUAACUUUGUUAUUCAGUGUCGCAGUUAACGCGUUAAAGCACACCGCCUGGGGAGUACGGCCGCAAGGUUGAAAC
rnacentral:rRNA from 1 species